rnacentral:rRNA from 1 species
GACAGGAGGGGCGAGCGUUGAGCGUUUGUACUGGGCCUAAAGCGCGGGUAUGUGGGUAUGAAACAUAAUAGCUGUUUUUCUAUUUCAAAGUGUCACAUACGUGACACCAAACAUAGAAGCAUUUGGUUGCGCAGCGAAGAAAGGCCCCUCCGAGGAUGGAGGCGUUUCUAGAGUGAAUUCAUACCUGGGGUCCAUGGAAGGUUGACAGAAUGGCCCAAGGACCGGUAGAAUGGGAAGAUAUGGGUUGGAAUCUCAACAGCGAAGGCAGUCAUCUGACAUGGUACCGACACCCAGCCGCGGAAGCGUGGGGAUUCAAUGGGG